ensembl:lncRNA
CUCCUGUAAAAAGCUUAUUUUGAUUUCUGGCUGAAAACAAAUGACGCAUUGAUGAGUGAGGAGGUGAAACCGCUGCGGGAGUGAUUGAGGUUCCAGCAGAGAGAUCAAUGUGCUGAUGUGGGAUCAGCGGCCCAUCACACGUCCUGUGUGUCUCUGAACACUGCUGUCUGGAGCUUCAGUGCCGCGAUCAAUAGCAGGUCACUUCAGUCCAGACUCACACAUGUGUGUGACGAGAGAUUGUGCGUCAUGCUGCUGGGAGAGACGGAAGCACUAAUGCUACGUCAUAGAGAUCCAGUGUUUCCCAGAUACCUGAAGCAUCCUUCAAAUGUCACACAGACAGCGACACAACACCUGCCACAAACCUCCAACCUCUGCUUUUAUUCCAG